rnacentral:rRNA from 1 species
AGUGAACGCUGGCGGUAUGCCUAACACAUGCAAGUCGAACGGCAGCACAGUAAGAGCUUGCUCUUACGGGUGGCGAGUGGCGGACGGUUGAGGAAUACAUCGGAAUCUACUUUUUCGUGGGGGAUAACGUAGGGAAACUUACGCUAAUACCGCAUACGACCUACGUGUGAAAGCAGGGGAUCUUCGGACCUUGCGCGAUUGAAUGAGCCGAUGUCGGAUUAGCUAGUUGGCGGGGUAAAGGCCCACCAAGGCGACGAUCCGUAGCUGGUCUGAGAGGAUGAUCAGCCACACUGGAACUGAGAAACGGUACAGACUCCUACGGGAGGCAGCAGUGGGGAAUAUUGGACAAGGGGCGAAAGCCUGAUCCAGCCAUACCGCGUGGGUGAAGAAGGCCUUCGGGUUGUAAAGCCCUUUUGUUGGGAAAGAAAAGCAGCAGGUUAAUACCCCGCUGUUCUGACGGUACCCAAAGAAUAAGCACCGGCUAACUUCGUG